rnacentral:rRNA from 1 species
GACGAACCGUGCAAACGUUAUUCGGAAUCACUGGGCAUAAAGGGCGCGUAGGCGGCUUUCUAAGUCAGGGGUGAAAUCCGGCAGCUCAACUGUCGCAGUGCCUUUGAUACUGGAGAGCUCGAGGGAGGUAGGGGUCUGUGGAACUUCCGGUGGAGCGGUGAAAUGCGUAGAGAUCCGGAGGAACACCAGUGGCGAAGGCGACACGCUGGGCCGUACCUGACACUGAUGCGCGACAGCAUGGGGAGCAAACAGG